rnacentral:rRNA from 1 species
GCGUGGAGACAGGUGGUGCAUGGCUGUCGUCAGCUCGUGUCGUGAGAUGUUGGGUCAAGUCCCGCAACGAGCGCAACCCUUGCCCCUUGUUGCCAUCAGGUCAUGCUGGGCACUCUGGGGGAACUGCCCCGGUUAACGGGGAGGAAGGCGGGGAUGACGUCAAGUCAUCAUGCCCCUUACGCCCUGGGCUACACACGUGCUACAAUGGCCGGUACAAAGGGAUGCAAUACCGCGAGGUGGAGCUAAACCCAAAAAGCCGGUUUAAAGUUCAGAUUGGAGUCUGCAACUCGACUCCAUGAAGGAGGAAUCGCUAGUAAUCGCGUAUCAGCACGACGCGGUGAAUACGUUCCCGGGCCUUGUACACACCGCCCGUCACACCACGAAAGUCAGCUGUACUCGAAGUCGCUGAG